CUGAAAUCUGUUCCCAAAGAAUGUGGGUUGUUUUACAAAGUGGCCUAUGUGGAUUUUGUCUGUAGAGAAGAUGGAGUUGGUGGAAUAUAACUUCUCAGGAAAUCUUGAUGGUAUUCGCACAAGAGUGUGAGCGACUGUACCUGUAUCUCUGUAGGCUCUCAUUUUGGCUAAAGGAAAAAGCAACGUUGAGAAACAGAAGAGUGACAAAUCUCCUCCCUCCCUCAAAUUCCGUCACCCCUUGGAUUACGCACAGUUGUGCUUUUCACACCUCUCAGAGUCACCUGCACAGCUUGUUUCAUAAAGCACACGCCGUUUGAUUAAAUGCCAUCGCUGGGAAGGGAGAGCAUAUUUGUUCAGCUGAUCUGGAUGAGCCAAACUAAAUCUCUAAUAGUCUGCAGUAACGAGGUCUUCCUCAGUUCCUCAUAGAGGGAACAGAACCGGCUCCAGAGAGUGAUUCAUCACAGCCCCAGACAGAUGUCAAAAACAAGAGUCACAUGAAUGGCAGUGCAUCAUGGGGGAACGAAUGUGCCCAUGUCCAGAUCCAAUCCAGGCACUGGGAGAAAAAAGCCCACUUGACAUUCCAGUGCUAGAAGUGCUUCUGGUACUCCCACUCAUCAUUUUGGUGCUGUCAGGCUUUGCUCUUGCUCCCUGCAGACCCCCAUGCUUGUGCUAAGAGCUGCUUGAAAGCUCGGAGGAUUAGAAGAUGGCAUCAGAACUCAUUGAGAUAUAAAUGACUUUAAUAUGCUUUGACACACACCUCAGUAAAUAAAGCUGGUGUGUUGCCAAGGUGAUGCUCCCG
ensembl:lncRNA